AAGCCGUCGUUCCGCUUUAUAAUGAGUGCUAGGGUUUCUUGUUCUAUCUAUAAAUACCUACUUAAUCCUUCAGUAUCGUCGUACAACUCGAUUUCGUGUCCUAACUUGUUCUGCAAACUAGGGUUUCCGGCUCGGCUUCCUUCGUUCUCGUAGUCGUUAUCCUUUAUGGCAAGCGAAGUUUUCUCAUCAUUCAGGGUCUGUAGCAGUGCCUCCAUCAGAAGAUGAAGGCUUUUGUUAAUCAAUUCCCUUCUGUUCUCGCUGAGUGCAAUAUGGAAUAUUGCUAGUGUCUCACCACCGCCCUCAUCUGAUGCAUGUAGCGUCCAUGUCGCCACUCAAAUUUCCUGUUAUUCUAAUAACUACUUACUUGAGUGUAUUUUCGAGUGAUUUCAAAAAAGUUGUUCUAUUUUUCUUUUGACAAUUGAUUGUUAAAUCCUCCAUCAAUCUAAAUGUUCUACUAGAGCAAUACACUCUUUUUCCCACCAAUUUUACUCAGUUUUUGUGUGUUGCAAUAAGUUGAUUGUAAUGGUAACUAUGUUAAACA